rnacentral:sRNA from 1 species
CUUUUCGGCUGGAAUGGGGAAUUUGUGAGGUAGGCCGGAAGUGGUGUUGCGGAGGGAAUUGUGGGGGAGAUCAGAGGUGCAGCUCUGCUGGAGAGACCUGAGGCUUGCAACGCUGGGCCCGGCCGAGUCGCUGCGGCUGGGCUGGAGGUCAAGGAUGCAUUCCAGGAAAGUUCCAUAAAAAUAUACCAUCAACUCCAACCUGAUAUUUGACCUAGCUGUGGAAAACCUCAUUGGCUCCUCACUAGAUCAGACCAUAAAAAUGAUUCAGGAAUGAAAAUCUAAGAUAAAUUCCCACCACUUCAAGAUGUUCUUAUACAAGUCAACAGUCUAGCAGAUCAGCCAGUCUCUUUCAUCAUCAAGCAGACAUACUCAAGAAAGAGGAAUAGUGAAGUGAAAUAUACAGAAGCAUGUUCAAGUUCAUCUGUUGAAUGUGGAAUUGUGAAUAGUGACAAUAUUGAGAAAAAUACUGACUCCAAUCUGCAAACUUCAACUUCAUUUGAGCCACAUUUCAAAAAAAAAAAAGAACAAGAACUGCACAGCCAUCUGGGAAGCCUUUAAAGUGGCACUGGACAA